rnacentral:rRNA from 1 species
UACAGAGGGUGCAAGCGUUGUUCGGAAUUAUUGGGCGUAAAGCGCACGUAGGCGGCUUGCAAGUCCCAUGUGAAAUCCCACGGCUCAACCGUGGAAGUGCAUGGGAAACUGCAGAGCUUGAGUACUUAAGAGGAUCGCGGAAUUCCCGGUGUAGAGGUGAAAUUCGUAGAUAUCGGGAGGAACACCAGUGGCGAAGGCGGCGAUCUGGGAAGAUACUGACGCUGAGGUGCGAAAGCGUGGGGAGCAACAGG